GGAACGACGUGAGGGUGAGUAAAUGAUGAUUUUUGGGUGAACUGUCCCUUUAAUGGUCCUAAAAUAUAUCCAUUACGCAAGUGUAAUUUCUUAGUCAUUUUGACUUUGGGAUGAAAUGUGACGUGUUUUUGGAGAUUGCCCCAUCCAAACCAGACCCAAGGUGUUUAUUAGCAAUAGUCUUGAAGGGCUUAUGGGAGCAGGAACGGAGGUAGAACCCAGAUUCCCCUAAACAUCCGCACUAACACCGUCACAUUUGACCCUUAACCUUUCAUCGAGUGGUGCCGUUUUGUGCAGGUGGUUUGGUGUCGUCGUGAUGCAGAUGUCGACCUUUUUCUUUCUGGUUGUUCCCUCUUAUGGAGACUCAAAAUAAUGAUUUGAAGUGCUGUGCUGCUGAGCGCAGUGCCGUUUCUGACCGCUAGAUGGAGACACUGUCAAGCGCUUCACUAACACUGUCCGCUUUCAUGAAGAAGCUUGAUAUAGGAGGCGAGCUUUGCCAAAAACGGCGUUACUAUGCAAUCCCCCGUUCGCGACCAAUAGAACAACAGAAUGCGUAAUGAAGAGAGGAGCAGAGGGAGUUUUGGAGGAGGGGUCUCCGUGCGUAAAUGAAAGAGCCGGAGGGACAAAGACAUGCAGCAUGCAACAGGACUCCGAGAGCAGAAAACACACUCCAAAUAACAUGCAAACGCAGAAGGAUUCUUGUGCAUUAAGAGGAUAAACAUUUGAAAUGCACUCAGGAUGCAACCGGAUAGCAGCAAACUGAGCUGAUCGCACGGAUAACUGCUGAACUUUCAGUCUGAAAAGCUUCAUUGUUGAGUAAAUGCAUGCUGACGCACCAUGUUGUGCUUUCAUGGAUUGAUGCAAGCAUGCACCUAAUCUGAGUUCGCAGGCAAAAUGGAGAGCAGCAUCGUUCCCGUCGCAUUUCUCUCGCUUGCGAUGAUGCUGGAUGCGCAGAUGGUUUGCUGGCAGGCGCUGAUGCGAUGUCAC